rnacentral:rRNA from 1 species
AGUGAACGCUGGCGGUAGGCCUAACACAUGCAAGUCGAACGGCAGCACAGUAAGAGCUUGCUCUUACGGGUGGCGAGUGGCGGACGGGUGAGGAAUACAUCGGAAUCUACUUUUUCGUGGGGGAUAACGUAGGGAAACUUACGCUAAUACCGCAUACGACCUACGGGUGAAAGCAGGGGAUCUUCGUACCUUGCGCGAUUGAAUGAGCCGAUGUCGGAUUAGCUAGUUGGCGGGGUAAAGGCCCACCAAGGCGACGAUCCGUAGCUGGUCUGAGAGGAUGAUCAGCCACACUGGAACUGGAACACGGUCCAGACUCCUACGGGAGGCGGCAGUGGGGAAUAUUGGACAAUGAGGACAGUCCUGAUCCAGCCAUACCGCGUGGGUGAAGAAGGCCUUCGGGUUGUAAAGCCCUUUUGUUGGGAAAGAAAAGCAGCAGGUUAAUACCCCGCUGUUCUGACGGUACCCAAAGAAUAAGCACCGGCUAACUUCGUG